rnacentral:lncRNA from 1 species
GAAGUCGUUUCGUGGCCUCCAGGGAUGGCUGGAAGAUCUCAAAGCUAUGACUGGAACAAUGAAAAGUCACACUUGCCCGAAUAAACACAACUUCUGCAAAAGCUGGUCGAUGUGUACGAUCAAAUGGAAAACAACCAACUGGCUGGACAAGAUUCUCGUGGAUAAAGUGAUGGUUCUAUGGUUAUAAGAUCCGCAUGGAUCAAUUCUCAGAGUGGGAAGAGACCUAAGAAAUCAUGAGAUCCUUGCGAAGUUCUAGCGAUUCUUCCUCCCCCAGUAGCAAGAUCCAUGUCGUGGUCGUUCCCCUGCCCGAGCAAGGCCAUAUGUCCCCAAUGAUCCAUCUCUGCAAGCUCAUCGCUCGAGAUCCAAGCUUCACGAUCUCCUUGGUCAAUGUGGACAGCCUCCACGACGAGUUCGUCAAGCACUGGGUGGCGCCGGCGGGGCUGGAAGAUCUGCGCCUCCAUUCCAUCCCAUACUCGUGGCAGCUCCCGCUAGGAGCCGAUGCCCACGCGCAGAGAAAUCUGGCGGAAUGGUUCACGGCAUCCGCGCGAGAGCUCCCAGGCGGCCUCGAGGAUUUGAUCCGCAAGCUCGGGGAGGAGGGUGAUCCGGUCAACUGCAUCAUCUCGGAUUACUUCUGCGAUUGGAGCCAGGAUGUGGCGGAUGUGUUUGGCAUCCCCAGGAUCAUUCUUUGGUCAGGAACCGCGGCAUGGACGAGCUUGGAGUACCACAUUCCAGAGCUUCUGGAGAAGGAUCACAUAUUUCCUAGCAGAGGUACGAAUCUUUGAAUUUACCAUGAACAUUAGUUCUUUUCCUCCUUCCCUUAUUCAAAUUUUGCCUGUUCUUCCCCGAUUCGUGCGCAGGGAGAGCUUCCCCGGAGGAGGUCAAUUCCGUGAUCAUCGACUACGUCCGAGGAGUCAAGCCGCUCCGCCUGGCCGAUGUGCCCGAUUACAUGCAGGGCAACGAGGUGUGGAAGGAGAUUUGCAUCAAGCGCUCCCCCGUCGUGAAGCGCGCGCGAUGGGUCCUCGUCAAUUCCUUCUACGACCUCGAGGCGCCCACCUUCGAUUUCAUGGCCAGGGAGCUCGGGCCUCGAUUCAUCCCCGCGGGGCCACUGUUCUUGCUCGACGAUUCCAGGAAGAAUGUGGUGCUUCGCCCGGAGAACGAGGAUUGCCUUGGCUGGAUGGAUGAGCAGGAGCCUGGAUCGGUGCUCUACAUCUCGNNNNNNNNNNNNNNNNNNNNNNNNNNNNNNNNNNNNNNNNNNNNNNNNNNNNNNNNNNNNNNNNNNNNNNNNNNNNNNNNNNNNNNNNNNNNNNNNNNNNCAUUCUUGUGGGUGAUUCGAUCCGAGCUCGUGGUGGGUGGACACUCAAAUGAAUCCUACGAUGGGUUUUGCGAGAGGACCAAGAACCAAGGAUUCAUCGUUUCCUGGGCGCCACAGCUGAAAGUUCUCGCCCAUCCCUCCAUGGGAGCGUUUCUCACGCACUGCGGAUGGAAUUCCAUCCAGGAGAGCAUCACACACGGGAUUCCAAUGCUGGGGUGGCCUUACGGGGCCGAGCAAAACACCAACUGUAAGUUCAUAGUGGAGGACUGGAAGAUCGGGGUUAGAUUCUCCAAGACCGCGAUGCAGGGAUUGAUCGAGCGAGGAGAGAUCGAGGACGGCAUAAGAAAGGUGAUGGAUAGCGAGGAGGGGAAGGAAAUGAAGGAGAGAGUGGAGAGCUUGAAGAUCCUUGCCAGGAAAGCCAUGGACAAAGAGCAUGGGAAAUCGUUUCGUGGCGUCCAAGCAUUCUUGGAAGAUCUCAAAGGUUUGAAGAUCCAUCGCGAGUGAGUGAAAGAUCCAUUCUUUGAAGAGAACUUUAAGAACUUUGUACCAGUUCUCAAGAUAAUUAAUGUUCCAACUUCUUUGAUCCAUACCGGUUUCUUCCUCACUGAGAUUGCGCAUAAGCAUUGGAAAGCCAGACGCAGAGCGCAGGAGGUGCCAACAUCCCUGCGGCGAUCCUGGCUGCUCGAUCCGACUCCGAGUUGAGAAAUCCGCAGGGAUUACCGCGAGGAGAUGGAAUUCCUCGCGAAUGGCCGCUACCAACUGGGGAUAUCUUUAGCGGAACCCCCUGGGAUCACCACAAUGCCCUCUGAUAGACUCUGAGCAGCGUUUUACUUGACUAGAUGCGAAAGAGCUUCGUUAGAACCUACAUGAAAACGUUUGGAACCAAUAUUAAAGUCGAUGCUUACAAACUUCAGCGCAACAUUGUUGCUCGGAAUCUUUGCGAAGUUGCAUUUGCCCAGACGAGGCAUCAUUUGCGGCCGAAGGGAAGACACCAUUAGCGCGCUGUAGUCAUGCAUUUCUUUAAGAAUCCGGGAUUAGAGAGAUGUCUUAGAGCACUUACUUAAUGUUACAUGCUCUUACCAUGUUUUUCUUCUCUCUUUUGCUCGUCCCAGCCGCCAUGCACGGAAAUAUCUAGAUUUUUCCCAACUUAAAAGAGAUCAAGAUUCAUGUGGCAGUUGUCCAGGCAUGCAAGGGAUCAUUGCCCCAAAUAUCGAUCCAAACUUUACAGUCCCUUAGCUUUUGGAAUUGUGAAACUUAAUCCCAGCGAGGGGAUAAUAAUCCUUGGAACCAUCAUCAGGAUCUUAAUCUCCAGAAAUUGGACAAAACACUAAACUACCAAGGAAUCUUCUCCAGAGACGCCUAGUAGUCUAAACAGUUUACGCACAAAUCUUUCCUUGCCAAAAAAAAAUCAUGGCUUCUACCAAGGUCCAUGUCUUGGCGGUUCCAGUGGCCGCCCAAGGCCAUAUCUCCCCAAUGAUCCAUCUCUGCAAGUUCAUCGCUCAAGAUCCAAGCUUCACAAUCUCCGUGGUCAAUAUCGACAGCCUCCACGACGAAUUCAUCAAGCACUGGGCGGCGCUGGAAGAGAUACGCCUCCAUUCCAUCCCAUUCUCGUGGAAGGUCCCGCGAGGAGUCGACGCCCACGUCGUGCGAAAUCUGGGGGACUGGUUCGCGGCAGCUGCGCGAGAGCUCCCCGGCGGCCUCGAGGAUUUGAUCCGCAAGCUCGGCGAGGAGGGCGAUCCGGUCAGCUGUAUCGUCUCGGAUUACUUCUGCGAUUGGACCCAGGAUGUGGCGGAUGUGUUUGGCAUCCCCAGGGUCAUUCUUUGGCCGGGCACCGCGGCAUGGACGAGCUUGGAGUACCACAUUCCAGAGCUUCUGGAGAAGGAUCACAUAUUUCCUAGCAGAGGUACGAAUCCCCUAUUUUGGCCAUGAACUUUCCCUGUUCUUCCCUUGGAAUUAAACGUUUCCCCUGUUCUUCCCUUGUUUUCCCUGGAAUUACCCUGUUCUUCCCUUGGAAUACCAUCGUUCUUCCCUUUAGCCCUCUUCCCUUUGGAAUUAACAUCCCCUGUUCUUCCCUUGGGCUGAUCGAUGCAUGCGCAGGGAGGGCUUCCGCGGACGAGGCCAAUUCUGUGAUCAUCGAUUACGUCCGAGGAGUCAAGCCGCUCCGCCUGGCCGAUGUGCCCACGUACCUUCAGGGCGACGAGGUGUGGAAGGAGAUUUGCAUCAAGCGCUCCCCCGUCGUGAAGCGCGCGCGCUGGGUCCUCGUCAAUUCCUUCUACGACCUAGAGGCGCCCAGUUUUGAUUUCAUGGCCAGCGAGCUCGGGCCUCGAUUCAUCCCCGCGGGACCACUGUUCUUGCUCGACAAUUCCAGGAAGAAUGUGGUGCUUCGACCCGAGAACGAGGAUUGCCUUCACUGGAUGGAUGCGCAGGAGCGUGGAUCUGUUCUCUACAUCUCAUUUGGCAGCAUCGCGGUGCUGAGCGUGGAGCAGUUCGAGGAGCUCGCGGGAGCUCUCGAGGCAUCGAAGAAGCCAUUCUUGUGGGUGAUUCGACCUGAGCUGGUGGUGGGUGGUCACUCGAACGAAUCUUACAAUGGGUUUUGCGAGAGGACCAAGAACCAGGGAUUCAUCGUUUCCUGGGCGCCACAGCUGCGAGUUCUCGCCCAUCCCUCCAUGGGAGCGUUUCUCACUCACUGCGGAUGGAAUUCCGUCCAGGAGAGCAUCGCGAAUGGCAUUCCAAUGCUGGGGUGGCCUUACGGGGGCGAGCAAAACACCAACUGUAAGUUUAUAGUGGAGGACUGGAAGAUCGGGGUUAGAUUCUCCAAGACAGUGGUGCAGGGAUUGAUCGAGCGGGGAGAGAUCGAGGCUGGCAUAAGAAAGGUGAUGGAUAGCGAGGAGGGGAAGAAGAUGAAGGAGAGAGUGGAGAACUUGAAGAUCCUUGCGAGGAAAGCUAUGGACAAAGAGAAUGGGAAGUCGUUUCGUGGCCUCCAGGGAUGGCUGGAAGAUCUCAAAGUUAUGAAGCUGGUUCGCGAGUGAGUGAACGAUGCAUUCUUUGAUAAGAAUUUUCUAUCUAUCAGUUCUAAAGAUAAACACAUGCUAGUCAAGUAAAACGCUUGUGCCUGGGAUUUGGAUAAUGUUGGAAAUGGCUGAGUAAACAAACAAAAAUUACUUAACAAAAUUGUUCAGGAAUGUUCUAUUGCUAGUGGCCGACCAUAAGUUACAAUCAAAGCGAAUGGACGUUAAUUAUAUGCUCUAUGUAACAUUUCUUGGUGAGGAAAAAAGCAGAUGCAAAAUAACUGUAAGACUUAGUUAAUUAAAACUAACAUGAAAACGUUUGGAUUUUCGAUGUUUACAACAAAAAACUCUACAAAUGCUUGAGUACAGUAUUGUUGCUCGGAAUCUUUGCUAACUUGCAUUUGCCCAGACCAGGCAUCAUUUCCAGCCAAAGAGAAGACAACGAGCGUUCUCUUGAUCGAUAAUCAUGCACUUAUUUUAGGCUGGACUUAGCCACGGCCAUUUUGUGGACAAGAGCACCACUCAUGAAUUUGAUUGCUCCAAUGUUAAAUGCUCUUACCAUAUUCUCAAAGGCUGGAAGCUUCCCAGCCGCCAGGUGUAGGGACAGAUUUUUGCCACCUUCUCAAGAUUCAUGCGGCAAGUGUCCAUAGGAUCAUUGCUUGUUCAAAUUCAGGAGCUGUAAUGGAUCCGAAGCGAGCUUGCAAUUUGGGUCAAUGUGAGUCUCGUUCUAGAGCAGAAUUGCCUCUCACAACGCUUAUGCUAAUCUUCCUUUUGUAUAAGUUUUGCAGGCCUAGGGUUCGCUCUAUCAACUUGUGUAAACAUCCGUUGCCUUCCCCGCCAAGAAAACCAUUCUAGUAAAUACCAAUGAACCCUGCCAAGGAAACCAUGGCUUCUCGCAAGGUCCAUGUCUUGGCGUUUCCAGCGCCCGCGCAAGGCCAUAUCUCCCCAAUGAUCCAUCUCUGUAAGUUCAUCGCCCAAGAUCCAAGCUUCACAAUCUCCUGGGUCAAUAUCGACAGCCUCCACGACGAGUUCGUCAAGCACUGGGUGGCGCCGGCGGGGCUGGAAGAUCUGCGCCUCCAUUCCAUCCCAUUCUCGUGGAAGCUCCCGCGAGGAGUCGAUGCCAACGUCGCAGGAAAUGUGGGAGACUGGUUCACGGCAGCCGCGCGAGAGCUCCCCGGCGGUCUCGAGGAUUUGAUCCGCAAGCUCGGCGAGGAGGGGGAUCCGGUCAGCUGUAUCGUCUCGGAUUACAUCUGCGAUUGGACCCAGGAUGUGGCGGAUGUGUUUGGGAUCCCCAGGAUCAUUCUUUGGUCGGGCAAUGCGGCAUGGACGAGCUUUGAGUACCACAUUCCAGAGCUUCUGGAGAAAGAUCACAUCUUUCCAAGCAAAGGUACGAAUCUCUGUUCUUCCCUUGUUCUUCCCUUGGAAUUAAGCGUUUCCCCUAUGCUUCCCUUGUAUUUACCCUCUUCUUCCCUUGGAAUACCAUCAAAUUUCCCCUGCUCUUCCUUUGGAAUUAAACCUCCUCUUGUUGACGCAGGGAAAGCUUCCCCGGACGAGGCCAAUUCCGUGAUCAGGGCCAGGAGGUGUUGAAGGAGAUUUGCAUCAAGCGCUCCCCCGUCGUCAAGCGCGCGCGCUGGGUCCUCGUCAAUUCCUUCUACGACCUCGAGGCGCCCACCUUCGAUUUCAUGGCCAGCGAGCUCGGGCCUCGAUUCAUCCCCGUGGGGCCACUGUUCCUGCUCGACGAUUCCAGGAAGAAUGUGGUGCUUCGACCCGAGAACGAGGAUUGCCUUCACUGGAUGGAUGCGCAGGAGCCUGGAUCGGUGCUCUACAUCUCGUUUGGCAGCGUCGCGGUGCUGAGCGUGGAGCAGUUUGAGGAGCUCGCGGGAGCUCUCGAGGCAUCGAAGAAGCCAUUCUUGUGGGUGAUUCGACCUGAGCUGGUGGUGGGUGGUCACUCGAACGAAUCUUACAAUGGGUUUUGCGAGAGGACCAAGAACCAGGGAUUCAUCGUUUCCUGGGCGCCACAGCUGAGAGUUCUCGCCCAUCCCUCCAUGGGAGCGUUUCUCACGCACUGCGGAUGGAAUUCCGUCCAGGAGAGCAUCGCUAAUGGCAUUCCAAUGCUGGGGUGGCCUUAACGGGGCGAGCAAAACACCAACUGUAAGUUCAUAGUGGAGGACUGGAAGAUCGGGGUUAGAUUCUCCAAGACAGUGGUGCAGGGAUUGAUCGAGCGAGGAGAGAUCGAGGCCAGCAUAAGAAAGGUGAUGGAUAGCGAGGAGGGGAAGAAGAUGAAGGAGAGAGUGGAGAACUUGAAGAUCCUUGUGAGGAGAGCUAUGGACAAAGAGAAUGGGAAGUCAUUUCAUGGCCUCCAGGGAUGGCUGGAAGAUCUCAAAGCUAUGAAGCUGGAUUGCGAGUGAGUGAAUGAUGCAUUCUUUGAUAAGAACUUUCUAUCUAUCAGUUCUUAAGAUAAAGACAUGCUAGUCAAGUAAACCGUUUGUGCGGGAUUUGGAUAAUGUCUGAGCAAAUAAACAAAAAUUAUUUGACAUAAUUGCUCAGGAUGCUUUAUUGCUAGUGGUUGACCAUAAGUUAUAAUCAAAGCAAUGGACAUUAUAGUCUUGUGUUCUAUGCAACAUCUCUCGGUGAGGAAAAAAGCAAAUGUAAAAGAACUGUAAGACUAAAAAAUUUUUAUUUUUACAUAAAAAUGUUUGGGAUUGUCAAAAACAAACUUUACAAAUACUUGAGUAUAGUAUUUGAAACGAACAAGAAAGCGAACUCUAGGCUAACCUCCCAACCCUUAAAGGUGUUAUGGCUUUAAAUCCCAUAGGUUAUGGAAUAUUUUUAGAAUAUUUCUAUGUUUCAUGUCAUUCUCCCAUCCCUCAUGACUCAACCACAUACAGCAGCAUUGAGAAGCUAAACGAGCCUCAUAUGAAGGGAAUUCAAGACAAUACGGCCAUAAAAAAAACAUGUGCAAACGGCAACAGAAACAUUGUGACAAGCAGCCAUAAAAGAAAGAAAGCAAUAUGGCUUUCUCACAUGACAAUACGGUUAUGAAAACAAAAGAAUGAGAAUAGAACAAACAACUCAAAUCAUAUAGCAAUACAGUGUAAGUUACAAAUUUUUCCUUUCUAAUUUGUCAACUUACCUCAUCUAUCCGACCAACACUGUUUUAACCUUAGUUAGGUUCCCUCACCAAAGUUUUCGCUUAUUGUACUAACUCCUACUUAGUCUUACUUGGUCCUAUUUGGUUUUAUCUAUUCAUUGCAUGAGCAAUAGAACAUUAGCCAUUUGUUCACAGAUUCCCAAAUUUCUCUCAAUCCCCCUCCCCGAGUUAGACUGGACUUAAGGUUCGACUACACUCCCCGCAAGUAUAAACAGCCAAACACACUAAGCUUCUAAAUUCUUAACAUCCCUUGGUACAACAAGACUUGAUCAUAGGACCUUCUAAAUCCCAAGCCUUGGGUGCAACACUUGCUUCGGGAUGUUGAGGAAAAACACUAUAGCCUAAUGGCCUAGUAUGGGUACCUCUACUCCCCCACUUCCAUCCCGAAGGGAAGACCUAAGCCCCUAAAAAGGGCGAGGAUCAAUGAUCUACAAGGUACUUAAGUGGGGCACCACUUCAUAUGAGCCAGGACCACCAUAGUCAGUUUUCCUUUCGGGAGUGAGAGUUGCUCUUGAGCAUUUCCUUGGUGGCCCAUCCGACACCACCCAAGUCCAUACCCACUCCCACCCAAGGCCCUUUGGUCCCAAUCUCAACCUCAAGUCAGUUUGGAAGCACCACUGGAAAGUUCGUUCAAGAUUGAUUUCUGGACCUCAUUAUUUCUACUAUACUUUUUUGGAACCCCCUUCCUCCUUCAUCCGCGAGAACAAGGCGAGAGCGAGCUCGACCUCGCUGUAGUUACAGUGGCCCAUGAUGAUCGCAGUCCAGGAAACCACGUCGUGGAACUCCAUCUUGUUGAAGACGAUCUUGGCAUACUCCAGGCUUCCACACUUGGAGUACAUAUCCACGAGACCGCUGGAGACGAACACAUCCCCGGAGUACUGGUUCUUGACAAUCUCGGCAUGGAUCACUGCUCCUCUUUCCAAAGUAGCCACCUUGACAAGCCUGCCACCUUCGACCACUGUCCCUUUCUCUCGAGCUGCGACCAUGGAGCAGGCCUGGAGAGCUGCCAGAUAAGUUCUCGCGUUUGGGAGAAGACCAUCUUCCUGGAUCCGCGAGAAGAGCUCGAGAGCUCCCUUGCCAUCGCCGUUCUGGACGUAACCUUUGAUCAUGGUGUUCCACGAGAUGGCAUCACGGAACUGGAUCCCAUCGAAGACCUUGCGAGCAUCCGCGACGAGGCCAAAGUGCGCGUAGCUGUCGAUCAGAGUGUUGGCCACCGACACAUCUCGAUCGUUCUUGGUGGCGACGAGAUCGCUGUGGAGGCUCAUGAGAUCCCAUCUCUCGCUGCAAGCCUUGAUCGCGAGCACGAUCACUGGCACGCACGGCCGGAUCCCACACUGGCGCAUUCUUCCAUAGGUAUCCCGCGCCUUCUCCCCCUCGAGCAGCCGCUUGGUCACGUACACGGGCUUGUCGGCUGUCCGGGACGGCGCCUUGAACCAUUUGAGCGGCGCGAGCUGUGACAGGCGCUGCGUCGCUAGGAUCGGCGAUGGCCGGAAGACCGGCAUUCGAUCGAGAGAGAGGAGACUUACCGCGAUGGCGAUGGCGGCAUUGCUCCUCCCAACAGCCCUAGUUUUAGGGAUUUGUCCCUUUCAUAUAAUUUGCCAGAGAUGGGUAUUUUGGACGAGCAAGCGUUUUACUUGACUAGAUCCAAACGAGCAGUGUUACGUCGUUAGAACUAACUUGAAAAACAUAAAGAAACAAUUUAAAAUAGAUGAUUGAAAGAAAGCUUUAGAGAUGAUAAACUAAAGCUUAAGAGGACAACUGGAACAAUGAAAAGUCGCACUUGCCCGGGAAAGGCAUUUAAAGGUUUCAUAAUAAACACAACUUCUGCAAAAGCUGGUCGAUGUGUACGAUCAAAUGGAAAACAACCAACUGGCUGGACAAGAUUCUCGUGGAUAAAGUGAUGGUUCUAUGGUUAUAAGGUCCGCAUGGAUCAAUUCUCAGAGUGGGAAGAGACCUAAGAAAUCAUGAGAUCCUUGC